rnacentral:misc_RNA from 1 species
GAUGAAGAACGUAGCGAAAUGCGAUACGUAAUGUGAAUUGCAGAAUUCAGUGAAUCAUCGAGUCUUUGAACGCACAUUGCGCCCCCUGGUAUUCCGGGGGGCAUGCCUGUCCGAGCGUCAUUGCUGCCCUUAAGCACGGCUUGUGUGUUGGGCCUCCGUCCUCCUCCCGGGGGACGGGCCCGAAAGGCAGCGGCGGCACCGCGUCCGGUCCUCGAGCGUAUGGGGCUUCGUCACCCGCUCUUGUAGGCCCGGCCGGCGCUUGCCGACACAUCAAUCUUUUUUCCAGGUUGACCUCGGAUCAGGUAGGGAUACCCGCUGAACUUAAGCAUAUCAAUAAGCGGAGGA